UUUUUUUGUGCUAGAAAUAAUUUUUUUAAAUUAAAAUUUUGAAUAAUUAUUGACAAAACGAAAGUCGUUAUUUGUGUGUAAUUUGUAAUAAGUGAAUGUCUUGCAAAUUUUGGCACACUUCUUUUAGAACUCGCAGUAAGUGUUAGAAAAUUUUUGGAAGAAUUUUUCAAGAAUUGGUAUCAAGUGAAUGUUCGUAUUUGUUUUCGGUCUGAAGUUUAAUAUUUGAAAUUUUGAAGUUCGCCGUUUUGGACUUACAUUUUCUCUUACUUUAAAUUAUUAUUUGAACCUGUCUUAUCUAUAAGUUCCAGGAACACAGUAAUAAAGAUCUUAAUACUGCGAUAGAGUGUGCUCUUGUGUGAACUGAGGUUUGGAAACAAAUCAUUUAACUAAACUAAUAAGUUAUUCUUAAUCUUAAGAUUUUAAUCCUCAGACAGUACUUGAAAACUGAAGUGUUUAGAGAUCUUCAAAUUGCGAUAUAGUUUUCUACUGUGUGUACUAAGAAGGUUUGGAAACAAAUCAUUUAACUGAUUUAGAGAUCUUCAAAUUGCGAUAUAGGUUGCUACUGUGUGUACUAAGAGGGUUUGGAAACAAAUCAUUUAACUGAACUAAUAAGUUAUUCUCAAGUUCUUACUUUGUUCUUGUCACAACACCUCAAUCCUCUUACAGUACCGGGAAACUUUGAUUGAUAGUUCACAUAACGUUUGAGGACUUGGCGUGCUUAUUAUAAUAUUUGACUUGUGUACGAAAUCAUAGUUUUCAAAACUAGAUAUCUUAACAGUUAUUGGACUUUAAGUGUUCGUGGACAAUAUUCGGUGAUUCGCUUUACUAAGGAUUUUUGGCAACAACUUUCAGAUAUUUCAUAAAGCGGAUGCGUUUUUUCAAUCAUUAGUGUCAAUGAAACUGACUAGUCAGUCAAGUUUUAAUGAUAAUUGAAUUUGAUUGACGUAUAUAAGACCACCGUGGAAAUAUCAAAAGUUGAGUUAGACGACGUAUGGUUAACCUAAUAGAGUUCGGUUUUUGAGACGAACAUGGGCUGCGCGAAGAAAUGUCCAAAAAAAAAGCCGAAGCCGGACGAUAAUAAUCCAUUUCUCAAUUUUCUUAGGGAGUAUUCUAAGAAACAAUGCGGAAAAACGGCAAUUCAAAUUGUAAUUGCUGGGGCAAAGAGAUGGAACUGCAUGUCCGAAAAAAAUAAGAAUAAGUACAAGUGUCCACAAAAG